UCCGAAUUGGUGUAGUGGCUAACAUUUGACGCUCUCAAGUCGCUGGUACUCGAGCUAGCUUCUGGACGAUCCGUCAAGCCCGGGGUUCGAUUCCCCGAUUCGGAG